GACGAACGCUGGCGGCGUGCUUAACACAUGCAAGUCGAACGAAGAGCGAUGGAAGCUUGCUUCUAUCAAUCUUAGUGGCGAACGGGUGAGUAACGCGUAAUCAACCUGCCCUUCAGAGGGGGACAACAGUUGGAAACGACUGCUAAUACCGCAUACGAUCUAAUCUCGGCAUCGAGGAUAGAUGAAAGGUGGCCUCUACAUGUAAGCUAUCACUGAAGGAGGGGAUUGCGUCUGAUUAGCUAGUUGGAGGGGUAACGGCCCACCAAGGCGAUGAUCAGUAGCCGGUCUGAGAGGAUGAACGGCCACAUUGGGACUGAGACACGGCCCAGACUCCUACGGGAGGCAGCAGUGGGGAAUCUGCCGCAAUGGACGAAAGUCUGACGGAGCAACGCCGCGUGAGGGAUGACGGCCGUCGGGUUGUAAAGCUCUGUUAAUCGGGACGAAAGGCCUUCUUGCGAAUAGUGAGAAGGAUUGACGGUACCGGAAUAGAAAGCCACGGCUAACUACGUG
rnacentral:rRNA from 1 species